GAACGUGGGGAUGACGUCAAGUCAUCAUGGCCCUUACGAGUAGGGCUACACACGUGCUACAAUGGCAUAUACAAAGAGAAGCGACCUCGCGAGAGCAAGCGGACCUCAUAAAGUAUGUCGUAGUCCGGAUCGGAGUCUGCAACUCGACUCCGUGAAGUCGGAAUCGCUAGUAAUCGUGGAUCAGAAUGCCACGGUGAAUACGUUCCCGGGCCUUGUACACACCGCCCGUCACACCAUGGGAGUGGGUUGCAAAAGAAGUAGGUAGCUUAACCUUCGGGAGGGCGCUUACCACUUUGUGAUUCAUGACUGGGGUGAAGUCGUAACAAGGUAACCGUAGGGGAACCUGCGGUUGGAUCACCUCCUUACCUUAA
rnacentral:rRNA from 1 species